UACGUAGGUGGCAAGCGUUAUCCGGAAUUAUUGGGCGUAAAGCGCGCGCAGGCGGUUUCUUAAGUCUGAUGUGAAAGCCCACGGCUCAACCGUGGAGGGUCAUUGGAAACUGGGGAACUUGAGUGCAGAAGAGAAAAGCGGAAUUCCAACGUGUAGCGGUGAAAUGCGUAGAGAUGUGGAGGAACACCAGUGGCGAAGGCGGCUUUUUGGUCUGUAACGUGACGCUUGAGGCGCGAAAGCGUGGGGAGCAAGCAGGAGUAAGUACC
rnacentral:rRNA from 1 species